UCUACGGGAGGCUGCAGUGAGGAAUAUUGGUCAAUGGGCGGAAGCCUGAACCAGCCAAGUCGCGUGAGGGAUUAAGGCCCUGCGGGUCGUAAACCUCUUUUGCCGGGGAGCAGUGGUCCGGACGCGUCCGGACCGGGAGAGUACCCGGAGAAAAAGCAUCGGCUAACUCCGUGCCAGCAGCCGCGGUAAUACGGAGGAUCCGAGCGUUAUCCGGAUUUAGUGGGUUUAAAGGGAGCGUCGAUGGGUUGUUAAGUCAGUGGUGAAAGUUUGCGGCUCAACCGUAAAAUUGCAAUUGAUACUGGCAGUCUUGAGUACAGUUGAGGUAGGCGGAAUUCGUGGUGUAGCGGUGAAAUGCUUAGAUAUCACGAAGAACCCCGAUUGCGAAGGCAGCUUACUAAACUGUGACUGACAUUGAUGCUCGAAAGUGUGGGUAUCAAACAGGAUUAGAUACCCCGGUAGUC
rnacentral:rRNA from 1 species